AUCAACACAGGCCGGAACCUCCCCUAAUGUGCUCGACUGAGGGGUGUUGAUGUCGGGGGAAACCCUCCCGUGAACCAGCGGGAUAGAGUGAAAGACGAAGACCGGAACCAAACUAAAGCGCCCUCUGUGGCGCUUUAGUUUU
rfam:Escherichia coli ISC11, WGS project CBWP01000000 data, contig: c56